rnacentral:rRNA from 1 species
CCCUAUGGGGUGCAGCAGGCGAGAAAACUUUGCAAUGUGCGAAAGCACGACAAGGUUAAUCCGAGUGUUUCCUGCUAAAGGAAUCUUUUGUUAGUCAUAAAACCACUAUUGAAUAAGGGGUGGGCAAGUUCUGGUGUCAGCCGCCGCGGUAAAACCAGCACCUCAAGUGGUCAGGAGGUUUAUUGGGCCUAAAGCAUCCGUAGCCUGAUCUAUAAGUUUCCGGUUAAAUCCAAAUGCUCAACAUUUGGGCUGCCGGAAAAACUGUAGAUCUAGGGAGUGGGAGAGGUAGACGGUACUCGGUAGGAAGGGGUAAAAUCCUUUGAUCUAUUGAUGACCACCAGUGGCGAAGGCGGUCUACCAGAACACGUUCGACGGUGAGGGAUGAAAGCUGGGGGAGCAAACCGGAUUAGAUACCCGGGUAGUCCCAGCUGUAAACGAUGCAGACUCGGUGAUGCAUUGGCUUGUGGCCAGUGCAGUGCCGCAGGGAAGCCGUUAAGUUUGCCGCCUGGGAAGUACGUACGCAAGUAUGAAACUUAAAGGAAUUGGCGGGGGAGCACCACAAGGGGUGAAGCCUGCGGUUCAAUUGGAGUCAACGCCAGAAAUCUUACCCGGAGAGACAGCAGAAUGAAGGUCAAGCUGAAGACUUUACCAGACAGCUGAGAAGUAGUGCAUGGCCA